rnacentral:rRNA from 1 species
UACGUAGGGGGCGAGCGUUGUCCGGAUUUAUUGGGCGUAAAGCGCGCGUAGGCGGUGUCGCAAGUCGGCCGUGAAAUCUCCCGGCUCAACUGGGAGGCGUCGGGCGAGACUGCGGGGCUGGAGGCAGGCAGAGGGCGGUGGAAUUCCGGGUGUAGUGGUGGAAUGCGUAGAGCUCCGGAGGAACACCAGUGGCGAAGGCGGCCGCCUGGGCCUGACCUGACGCUGAGGCGCGAAAGCGUGGGGAGCGAGCCGG